rnacentral:misc_RNA from 1 species
GGUGCUCUUUCUACCUGGGCGCAAGCAGGUUGCACUUGAAGGGUUUUGGUGCGCCAUGCCGGUUGUGGUUGAACUGCCCUCUUCUUGUUGGUGCUGCCUCUUCUUGCGGUGCGUUCUCCUUUAUCAAACCAUGUUCCACUCGCUGUAUCGUCUGUGCCAGUGUGCCAAGCUCUCGUUUACUAUCUUGGUGCUCUCUGUGUGUAUCCUGCCAUGCGUGGACGUCGUUGCCAGAGCGCAGGCAGAAGAUGCUGCGCCAGAAAUCUUGUACGUGCGCGGCUGCCGCGACGGUGCGGCUGAGGCACGGGAGACGACCGGUUGCUUUGCGGCACGCGCCGGCGCGUCCGUAUCGUCGCCGACUGCACUGGCCCCAAUCGCGAGUGUCACGCUCUCCUUGCAGGGUGUGCACCUUCCGUCAGAGGUUCGAGACACGGACAACGGUGACUCGCAGGCGGUACUGCACCGGGUGCUACUGCAGGAGCAUCGCCGUCCACCGCUGCUUGGUCAGGAGCAGAGCGAAGCCGACACACGCCUGCUAGAGAAGAUUGUCCUGACCUGCAGCCGACCCACGGCUUCGCUGGUGUUCCCUACACAGCUGAUCUCGUGCGAGCUGGAAAACCCGCUUCUCAGCCUCGCUGGCGUGGAGAGCAUGACACCGCAGCUGUUGCGGCUGGUGAGCCAGCCGAUGUGGUUCGACGUACGUCUUGAGGAGCGACGCAGCGGCGAGGAAGCUUACCGCACCGUUACCGUACUGCGCCGUGCGGUGGAGUUGCGGGUGAGCAACACGACAAGCGCCAAAGACGAGACGGCCGCCGAGACGCCGCGGGGGCACGCAGAGAAGGUGUCAUGGGAGGAGGUGCGUCAGCACCCACUGGAGCGUCUGUACGCGCCGUUGCCCGCAUCUCAGGACCGCGCCAAGCGCGCGGACGAGCCGUACGAUGGCGACGGCGCAGCGAAUGGCGAUGAGAUGUGGGCGGAGCUCGGUAUCGGCGGCCUCAAGCGUGAGCUCCGCACACUGUUCCGCCGCGUCUUUCUCUCUCGGCUUCCGUCUUUGGCACCGCUCGCCGAAGCGUUGCAUCUGCAGCACGUGCGCGGUGUCAUUCUCUACGGACCGCCCGGGAACGGCAAAACCCUCAUUGCGCGCAACUUGUUCCGCUUGCUGGGCCCUAACACGCGCCUCUCCGUCGUGAACGCGGCGGACAUCUUGUCGAAGUUUGUCGGCGAGUCGGAAAAGAACUUGCGGGACGUGUUCGAGGGAUACGACAUCAGCACGACAUCCAAGGAGGAGACAGCGCAGCAGGAGAACGAGAGGUUUGACCGUUCGGCGCACAAGAGGAGUGACGCAACGAAGAAGGGUGCGCUGCUGGUGCUCGUGAUUGACGAGUUCGAGGCGCUCUUCCGCCGCCGCGGCCACUCUAGCGAUGAGAGCUCUGCCAAGGCAGUGUACGACGGUGUGACGAACACACUGCUGUCUCUCAUGGACGGCGUGAAGAGCCGGAACGACCUGCUGGUUGUCGGCUUGACGAAUCGGCUGCAGGCGAUCGACUCGGCGCUCCUCCGUCCUGGCCGUUUUGAGGUGCUCAUCGAGAUCCCCGCGCCGGACGUCCCUGGCCGCGAGGACAUCUUUUUCAUUCACACAGCGCGUCUGCGGGAGCAGAAUUUCCUGGCACCCGACGUGGUUCUGCGAGAUCUGGCACUGGAAAGCGGCGGUUUUUCCGGGUCUGACAUUGCCGGCACGGUGCGCUCUGCCCUGAGCUACGCGUUGCUGCGGUAUCGCAGGGAUGGGCUCUUCCAGGGCGGCCCGCAGAGCAAGGAGGCCAACGAGGGUUCUUCUGGCUUGGCAGACGCGGAGAUGAUUGGCCACCGCGCAGGCGACGUUGGCGGGCUUGAUCUGGAGGGCACAGGGGGGAGUGGCAGCAUGAGCUCAUCCGCCUCGUCGCCUUCGCUGUUCAAAGUAACGCGGGAGGACUUUGAGCACGCCUUCAAGGACAUCCGCAGUGCCAAAGAUGAGACAUCUGUGCUGUCGCAGCUCUCCGCUGACGGCGACAGGGCCAGUGCCGAGAUUGUCGACCACGAUGGCACCGUGAGCAAUAACAUCAAGAGGGCGACUGCGGUGAUUGAGCGCGUGAUGAAGAGCAACCGCACCGUGACAGGAAUGCUCGUCAUCACCGGAGCCCCAGGCACCGGUAAAUCCACCGUGGCCCGAGCCCUCACCCGCGUCUACGACUUCACAACGGUGCGCUACCUCUCCUGCCGUCGCGUGGCGCAGCUGCCCGAUCACGAGGAGCAACUGGGAAAGCUGCGGGACGCUCUCAACGACGCCUCGCACACAGAAAGUGGGAUCGUGGUCCUCGACGACUACGAUGUUCUCGUCGGCGUCAUGGGUACCGGUGGCUACGCCGGGAACACGCUGCGCAGCUUGCUGUACGAGUACAUGCACCGCUCGGGGGGCGUAAGCCGUGCCUUGGUCGCAAACUCACCGUUGGCGGUCGCUGAUGAGGCAGGAGGUAACGUGGCUAUGAACGCUGAAAGCCGUGUCUCGGCAGAUCGCAACCACCGCAUACUGGUGCUCACGUCAUCCCUAUCGUCGGUUCUACAGCAGUUUUCUUUCGAUGCGCACCUGCGCGUGCAUCCAGUGCUGCGACGCGGGGCAGAAGCCCUGCUGCAGGAGUAUCGCGUGGCAGAUCCAGUGCAAUCAGUCAAGGCGGCAGCGGCCUACCCGGUGUCGAUGAGCUACCGCACAUUUCUCCGCAUCACGGACAUGUCCCUGCAGCGGUGGGUGCAGGAGGUCGAAAACACAGCGGCUGCCAUUGGCGACUCGCAGUCGAGCGACGUGGAGUCGUCGGAGUCGACGAUGGAGUUGCCGGCAUACUUUGCCACGUCUGAUCAGAUGCGCGCCGUCUACAACGAGAUGCGCGCGAGGCAGGUGGCUGCGAACUUUUACGCGGUGGGCGACGAUGCCGCCAGUCACAGCUUUGUCCCCGCAGUGCGCACCACAGUGGCAGAUAUGGGGCUGAUUGACCCGUACCAAGGCUGGGGGGGCGAGGGUAGCGACGAUGAGGACGGCAAGGAGGCCGCGGUGGACGUAGACGAGCUUGUGGGCGCUGCGGAUGAACUACUGUGGUAGCUUCUCAUGUCGGAUGCUGAUUUUGAGAGGUUGGUGGAUGACCGUCCGCUGCGGACUUUUUUCUACCUUCUGCUCGCCCCUUCCUCCUCCUCUAGGACGGAGGGGGUGGGGGGUGGGUGGGCACCCCUCAGCGCGUCGUGUCGCAGGGCCCAGCACACACACCACUCUGUGUGUGUGUGUGUGUGUGUGUGGCUGUGGGGAAGCGAGCCAGCCCCCCAACCCCUAAACCCCUGCCAAGUGCCCCAGCCACCUCGGGUGGUGGCGGGGCCCAGCACCGACGACGUAGGGGAGGUCAGAGCGAUGUAUCGCUGCUGAUGUCGCUGGUGAGGUUGUGGAGGGCGUGGCGUCGGAGCGGCCAGCGUGGCUCGAACACAUCUCCCCCCUCUCCCUCCCCCUCCGGGCCCCUCACUCUGCCCAGCGGUGCAGGGAGCCUGCACCACUCUCAAGGAGGGUGCGGCUGUGUAGCGCUUGGGACGGAGGCCGUACCCAGAUGGCUGUGUUGGCGCAGUGCUGUACCGCUUAUGCCUACCGCUGCCUCGCGCCAGGCCAUGUGGGCCGGUGUGACGGGGCCGGGGGGUCGAAUGGAGUUGAACUAACGUUGUACUGCAGAGAAACGGGCACCGUUUCACAAGUACAUUCCUCCUCACCCUCACGAGCCUCUUCCCUGUGGGUGAGCCAAGGAGGGCGUGAGAGUGCUCCACAGGCAUGUGUGAUUGUUGAGGCAGCCUUGGUAGACAGAGGUCAAAUCGUAAUGUCGCGCGCGGCGAGUUGCCGAGAGCAAGCGAGAGAGACGCGGCGCCGCUUUUGACUGUCCCUCAUCCCGUUCACAUCAUUGACGCAUUUUCGUUUAGG